rnacentral:rRNA from 1 species
UCGAACGAAGCACUCUAACCUGAUUCUUCGGAUGAAGGUUUUUGUGACUGAGUGGCGGACGGGUGAGUAACGCGUGGGUAACCUGCCUCAUACAGGGGGGAUAACAGUUAGAAAUGACUGCUAAUACCGCAUAAGACCACGGAGCCGCAUGGCUCAGUGGGAAAAACUCCGGUGGUAUGAGAUGGACCCGCGUCUGAUUAGGUAGUUGGUGGGGUAACGGCCUACCAAGCCAACGAUCAGUAGCCGACCUGAGAGGGUGACCGGCCACAUUGGGACUGAGACACGGCCCAAACUCCUACGGGAGGCAGCAGUGGGGAAUAUUGCACAAUGGGGGAAACCCUGAUGCAGCGACGCCGCGUGAGCGAAGAAGUAUUUCGGUAUGUAAAGCUCUAUCAGCAGGGAAGAAAAUGACGGUACCUGACUAAGAAGCACCGGCUAAAUACGUGCCAGCAGCCGCGGUAAUACGUAUGGUGCAAGCGUUAUCCGGAUUUACUGGGUGUAAAGGGAGCGUAGACGGCUGUGUAAGUCUGAAGUGAAAGCCCGGGGCUCAACCCCGGGACUGCUUUGGAAACUAUGCAGCUAGAGUGUCGGAGAGGUAAGUGGAAUUCCCAGUGUAGCGGUGAAAUGCGUAGAUAUUGGGAGGAACACCAGUGGCGAAGGCGGCUUACUGGACGAUGA